UACGUAGGGUGCAAGCGUUGUCCGGAAUUAUUGGGCGUAAAGAGCUCGUAGGCGGUUUGUCGCGUCUGCUGUGAAAACCCGAGGCUCAACCUCGGGCCUGCAGUGGGUACGGGCAGACUAGAGUGCGGUAGGGGAGAUUCGAAUUCCUGGUGUAGCGGUGGAAUGCGCAGAUAUCAGGAGGAACACCAAUGGCGAAGGCAGAUCUCUGGGCCGUAACUGACGCUGAGGAGCGAAAGCAUGGGGAGCGAACAGG
rnacentral:rRNA from 1 species